rnacentral:tRNA from 1 species
GCGGAAGUGGCGGAAUUGGUAGACGCCCCAGAUUUAGGUUCUGGCGCCGCAAGGUGUGAGAGUUCAAGUCUCUCCUUCCGCACCA